rnacentral:rRNA from 1 species
GACGAACGCUGGCGGCGUGCUUAACACAUGCAAGUCGAACGAUGAGGCCAGGUUGCUGGUGGACUAGUGGCGAACGGGUGAGUAACACGUGGGUGAUCUGCCCCAAACUUUGGGAUAAGCCUGGGAAACUGGGUCUAAUACCGAAUAUGACCGAUACUCGCAUGGGUGUUGGUGGAAAGCUCCGGCGGUUGGGGAUGGGCCCGCGGCCUAUCAGCUUGUUGGUGGGGUAAUGGCCUACCAAGGCGACGACGGGUAGCCGGCCUGAGAGGGCGACCGGCCACACUGGGACUGAGACACGGCCCAGACUCCUACGGGAGGCAGCAGUGGGGAAUAUUGCACAAUGGGCGCAAGCCUGAUGCAGCGACGCCGCGUGAGGGAUGACGGCCUUCGGGUUGUAAACCUCUUUCACCAGGGACGAAGCGAAAGUGACGGUACCUGGAGAAGAAGCACCGGCCAACUACGUG